AGUAGUGGGAGCGAUCAUUUCAAGAACAUAGUUUCCGCACAUGAUCAUAUAGAAUCUCAACCUUCCACAUCAAAUGAUAGAUUGAUUAUAGUUCAUAGCACUCCUCAAGUACAAACUAGUGCUGAACAACCAAUCAUUGAAAUUCCACAAGUUGUUGAUAGUAUUCUAAUAGAUCAAGCAGUUCAGGAAUUACAACAAGC
rnacentral:lncRNA from 1 species